rnacentral:rRNA from 1 species
AUUGAACGCUGGCGGCAGGCUUAACACAUGCAAGUCGAGCGAGCGGCGGCCGGGUGCGUCCUGUCUGUGAACCUGCCUAAUGGAGGGGGAUAACUACUGGAACCGGUAGCUAAUACCGCAUACCCUCAGAUGUGCCCAGAUGGGAUUAGCUAGUAGGUGGGGUAAAGGCUAACCUAGGCGACGAUCCCUAGCUGGUCUGAGAGUGUGACCGGCCACACUGGAACUGAGACACGGCCCAGACUCCUACGGGAGGAAGCAGUGGGGAAUAUUGCACAAGGGGCGCAAGCCGGAGGCAGCCAGGCCGCGUGUGGGAAGAAGGCCUUCGGGUGGUAAAGCACGUUCAGAGAGGAGGCGGUACUUGCAGAAGAAGCACCGGCUAACUACGUGCCAGCAGCCGCGGUAAUAC